GUCCACCGCCCCUAAACGAUGCAUACUUGGUGUGGGCAGUUCAGUCUGUCCGUGCCGGAGCUAACGCGUUAAGUAUGCCGCCUGGGGAGUACGGUCGCAAGGCUGAAACUCGAAAGGAAUUGACGGGGGCCCCGCACAAGCGGUGGAGCAUGUGGUUUAAUUCGACGCAACGCGAAGAACCUUACCUGGGCUCGAACGGCUUAGGACCGGGUAGAAAUAUCCCUUUCCCGCAAGGGACCUGAGUCGAGGUGCUGCAUGGCUGUCGU
rnacentral:rRNA from 1 species